CAUGACUCCUGUUCAAACUUACUUCCCAGAAAUCUUAGGCAGCUUGCCAUGGUCGAUGGAGCACCAUGGACAUUCUCUGAAGGCUGCUAGCCAGGAGACUCAAGAAGAAAUUGUUAAAAAGGAGAACUAUCCAAACAUUGUCCUCUCCCUUUGCAGCCUCAACAGGAAAGAAAACUCAGGGGUAAGUAAUAAUAGGUACUCUGUGUGUUGGAACACUCUUAAGAAGGGUAUUGUCUGGACUGAGGAGUUGCGGCUUUGGCUACACACUUAGUGAACCGAGGUCUGCGAGGUUCAAGUUCAGAGAAAUGGAUUUCUGCCACUGCAGACUCAUUAGAGCUGAUGCUAUCACAGUGCUAAAAGGAAAACCUUAUGUUCACCUCCGGGCUGCCAAGUGUCCAGCUGCCAUCCGCAUCAGCACUAGCAAAGAAUGCUCUGAAUUUGGGCUAGCGCAAACAUAGCCAGAGCCAGGUUAGUCAAUGAGCCUAAUCAUGAUAAUGCUAAUAAUAGCAAACCUUUAUUGAGCCCUAACUGUGAGCCAGGACUGCUGAGAGCAGUCUGUGUGCAUCGCCCCGUGUAAUCCUCACUGCUCUAGUCAUGAAGCUGUUAGGAGGACUGUUUUGCAUGUAAGAAAUGAGGCUCGGACAGGUGAAGUCAUUUGUCUGUGAUCACUGAGCUGGAGAGCAGUAGACCUGGAUUUUGCACUCAGAUCUGCUGAAUGCUGUUUCCCAGAACCCUACUGUGUGACUUUUCUGCCUUUGAAGUCCAGUCUCUCUGCAGGGUGCUUGGGAUGUGACUCAGAGCCUAUCAUCCCACGUACUUUUGCUCUGGCCCUACCAGUUCAGACUCCACUCUCUGCACAUUCUAAGAUUCUUUCAUUUUGCUCAUUUCUUGUGCCUUUAAGGUACUUUUCCUUUCUCCUGGUAGACCGAGUCUAUCAUCCACAUCAUCCAUUCAUUCUCCGUGUAGAUGUCACAUCCUUUGUGAAUCCUUCCUCAGCUAUCUCCUCCCAACUCUUGACCUCCCAAAGUGCUCCCUCAACCCCCAAGUUCAUAUUUUAGCCUAGAGGUCAGCAAACCAUGGCCAAAUCUGGCCCGCUGACUGGUUUUGCCUUGCCCUGAGCUAAAAAUAGUCUUUGUAUUUAAAAUAAAUUUUUAAGAAAUCUUUUCA
rnacentral:lncRNA from 1 species